rnacentral:sRNA from 1 species
AAUCUUGCAUGAAGAGAUACAAAGUGGAGUUAGAGCCAAUGAUGAGUUGCCGCAUAUAUAUAUUUUCUCAAGUAAUCAUGCAAUAUAAUCUUGUAAUAUAGAGGUUGAAGAGGGUUUUUGCAUGCGGCAAGCAUCCUUGGCUCUACCUUCGUUCUGCAUUUGUCUCAUGCCAGAUU